ACGCUGGCGGCAGGCCUAACACAUGCAAGUCGAGCGGUAGAGAGAAGCUUGCUUCUCUUGAGAGCGGCGGACGGGUGAGUAAUGCCUAGGAAUCUGCCUGGUAGUGGGGGAUAACGUUCGGAAACGGACGCUAAUACCGCAUACGUCCUACGGGAGAAAGCAGGGGACCUUCGGGCCUUGCGCUAUCAGAUGAGCCUAGGUCGGAUUAGCUAGUUGGUGGGGUAAUGGCUCACCAAGGCGACGAUCCGUAACUGGUCUGAGAGGAUGAUCAGUCACACUGGAACUGAGACACGGUCCAGACUCCUACGGGGAGCAGCAGUGGGGAAUAUUGGACAAUGGGCGAAAGCCUGAUCCAGCCAUGCCGCGUGUGUGAAGAAGGUCUUCGGAUUGUAAAGCACUUUAAGUUGGGAGGAAGGGUUGUAGAUUAAUACUCUGCAAUUUUGACGUUACCGACAGAAUAAGCACCGGCUAACUCUGUGCCAGCAGCCGCGGUAAUACAGAGGGUGCAAGCGUUAAUCGGAAUUACUGGGCGUAAAGCGCGCGUAGGUGGUUAGUUAAGUUGGAUGUGAAAUCCCCGGGCUCAACCUGGGAACUGCAUUCAAAACUGACUGACUAGAGUAUGGUAGAGGGUGGUGGAAUUUCCUGUGUAGCGGUGAAAUGCGUAGAUAUAGGAAGGAACACCAGUGGCGAAGGCGACCACCUGGACUGAUACUGACACUGAGGUGCGAAAGCGUGGGGAGCAAAC
rnacentral:rRNA from 1 species